ACUAAAAGAGUCACGCGAUGGAGAAUUUGGAGAGAUGUGCGUCGAUUAAAAAAGUCAUGAAUUGGAAAGGGGUUUACCCACAGAAUCGCCCUCACUCGCUCAACGCGCUCUUUCUGCGAGUGGUCACCGAAAGUUGGAAUUUCCUUUGUGAUAAGAUCUAAACAAAUAUCAAAGUCUACAAAUGCUGGAUUAAGCAAGUUAAAGCCUUUGUGAUUCCCUUGUAUUUUCAACAACCUCGUCUUCAAAACUUUAUCCAAAGACAUAUGUGGAUAGCCAUAGCAAGCCACAGUUACAUUAUACAGGAAAGAACCUCAUUGACCUGGCAGGUUCUGAAAGCUCAAAGGCUGAAACCAGUGGUUUAAGGCGCAAGGAAAGGUCUUAUAUAAAUAAAGCUUUGCUGACUUUAGGGACUAUGAGUUCUUGGUUAUCAUUGUUUUCCCCCAAGCGACAAUAGUUUUUCGAAUUUAAGAACCUUUUUUGCAAGUUGGAUCGUUCUUUUGCAAAUUUGUAGGUACUUGUUAUAGU